rnacentral:rRNA from 1 species
UACAGAGGUCCCGAGCGUUGUUCGGAUUCACUGGGCGUAAAGGGUGCGUAGGUGGUGAGGUAAGUCGGACGUGAAAUCCCUCGGCUCAACCGAGGAACUGCGUCCGAUACUGAAAGGCUUGAAUCCGGGAGAGGGAUGUGGAAUUCCAGGUGUAGCGGUGAAAUGCGUAGAUAUCAGGAGGAACACCGGUGGCGAAGGCGGCGCUCUGGGCCGGUACUGACGCUGAGGAGCGAAAGCGUGGGGAGCAAACAGG